GAUGAACGCUGGCGGCGUGCCUAAUACAUGCAAGUCGAGCGAACAGACGAGGAGCUUGCUCCUCUGACGUUAGCGGCGGACGGGUGAGUAACACGUGGAUAACCUACCUAUAAGACUGGGAUAACUUCGGGAAACCGGAGCUAAUACCGGAUAAUAUAUUGAACCGCAUUGUUCAAUAGUGAAAGACGGUUUUGCUGUCACUUAUAGCUGGAUCCGCGCCGCAGUAGCUAGUUGGUAAGGUAACGGCUUACCAAGGCGACGAUGCGUAGCCGACCUGAGAGGGUGAUCGGCCAAACUGGAACGGAGACACGGUCAAGACUCCUACGGGAGGCAGCAGUAGGGAAUCUUCCGCAAUGGGCGAAAGCCUGACGGAGCAACGCCGCGUGAGUGAUGAAGGUCUUCGGAUCGUAAAACUCUGUUAUUAGGGAAGAAUAAAGGUGUAAGUAACUAUGCACGUCUUGACGGUACCUAAUCAGAAAGCCACGGCUAACUACGUG
rnacentral:rRNA from 1 species